UCCUGGCUCAGGAUGAACGCUAGCGGCAGGCCUAAUACAUGCAAGUCGAACGGGAUGGUCGCCUUCGGGCGGCCUGAGAGUGGCGCACGGGUGCGCAACGCGUAUGCAACAACCCCCGACAGGCGGAUAGCCGGUGGAAACGCCGGAUAAUACGCCAUGGUUCCGGUGGAGGGCAUCCUCUACUGGAUAAAGCUACGGCGGUCGGGGACGGGCAUGCGUCCCAUUAGAUGGUAGGCGGGGUGACGGCCCACCUAGUCCGCGAUGGGUAGGGGAUCUGAGAGGACGGUCCCCCCACACUGGUACUGAGACACGGACCAGACUCCUGCGGGAGGCAGCAGUAAGGGAUAUUGGUCAAUGGGGGCAACCCUGAACCAGCCAAUGCCGCGUGAGGGAAUGAGGCCCUACGGGUCGUGAACCUCUUUUAUUCGGGGACAAGGACGCGGUCGCGAACCGUGUUUGAGGGUACCGAAGGAAUAAGCAUCGGCUAACUCCGUGCCAGCCGCGGC
rnacentral:rRNA from 1 species